UCUCUUGAAAAAACUCCCCUUUAUCUAUAUAUAUUAGAUUUUUAAGAAUAGUGUUAUGAGUGACAAAAUGGUGAAAUUCACUAUUCCUAAGAAAUAGAAUUUUGCAUUCCUUCCCUUUAGAUGCUCAAUGUUGAUUGUUCCAACAACCUCGGUUCAUGGCUUGGUACUCACAUAUUUUUCCAUGCUCCACUUGCUCAACAUUUUUUUUCUUUCUUUUUCUUUUUCUUUUUCUUUUUCUUUUUCUCCCUUUCAAUUCUUUUCUUUCUUCAGCUUUUGAAAUUUGAUCGUUUUUCUUUGUCUCCCUUUCAAUUCUUUUCUUUCUUCUCCCUUCUCCUCUCCUAUCUCCUUCACCUCUUUUCUCUCACUCAAACUCAUUAAAAAAUCAUCAAAUUUAAGCUCAAAAUUCCUCUUCAAUGGCGUCAAAAAAAGCACACUAUUUUCUUUUUUUGAAACAACCUCCAUUAGAUAUCCUCAAUUUUUCAAGCAUCGAAAAAUAACAAUUUCCCCCAGAUCUCUUCUCCUUCUUCUUCAUCGAUCAGAAUCUUCCCCUCAUUUUCAAUAACUAUGUUUCUGCUAAGUUUCGUCGAUUGAAGAAAAAAUGUCUGGAGUAUCCACAACGAUGUACCUUUAGACAUUAAAGCUAGUUCUCAUAUGGCGGAAUUAUCGCGGCGAUGUUUCGGCGGUUCAAGCUGGGAAAUUCUUCACUAAGUUCAUCGAAAAAGAGCCUUGGGAAGAAAGAAAGAAGGAAGCUCUUGAUCAUUAUCAGGGAACUCUUGUUUUUCUCUUGAACUUAGAUCCCACAUACACCUUAUUCGAAAUUGAGAACAUAGUAUGGCAUAGUAUUGGAUAUAGUUGCACGGCGAAUAUGGUCCCCCGUACUGCUACAUCUAGCCCACAUUCUGGACAAGCUUUUACUAUUUUCAAAACUCCAGAAGCUGCAAGAAAAUCAUUGGAAAGCUGCCUUUGGGGUGCUUAAUGCUCCCUAAUGGAAGGAGAUGCGUUGUCAAGUGGAGAUUUACGUUUUCAUCAUCGAACCUUCCCUUUCGGGAAUGGGGACAAAAGUAGGUGUCUACAGUUAGCCCCCACUUUGACUGAGUCUCGGGAUGAGACGAUGGUCAAAGUACUGGACGGAGUGCGCCACACAAGCCAUGGUGUAUGUGACCUGUUUUGCGAGGGUCUCACGAGCCCCGGAGUCAUAACAUUUGACUUAAGGGUCAUCACUUGAAAUGUCGACAUAUCCCUCACGUGUUAUUGGGAUUUGUCAACGGAUAGUAUAGAAUACUCCCUCACUUUGUCAUUGGAAGUAUCUAAAGAGGCGUAGAAACUCCCUCACUUUGUCAUUGGGAGUAGCUACAGAUGUUUUCGAAAUCAAAGCUAUAAAGUGUAAUUGGGUCUGGCCAAGCCCAGCCACGAGGUAGAAAUGUUUUUAAAGAUUCUCAUUUUCAAGGCUAGUUAAACGAGAAAACCCCCUUGUUUUUAUGGGACGUAAAACGAAGGAAAAUCCAGCACAUCGUUCUUUUUUGGAAAAACGGAAAACCAAUCCUUUAAUUUUUGGAAAAAGGAGAACCGAUCCUUUAAUUUUUGGAAAAAGGGAAAACCGAUCCUUUAAUUUUUGGAAAAAGGGAAAACCGAUCCUUUAAUUUUUGGAAAAAGGGAAAACCGAUCCUUUAAUUUUAGGAAAAAGGGAAAACCGAUAAAGGUUAUCGCUGCAGCGACUAAGGACCUGCGCGGUUAGUGGCGCAGACCCCGCCGGCUAAAGAUGGCGAGCCUGUCCGCUAAGGGUGGACACCCCGUCCGAUAGAAGUGGAUGAAUCUAUUUUUGAAAUUUGAAAAUAAGGACCUACGCGGCUUGUGACGUAGACCCCGCCGGUUGAAGAUGGCGAGCCUAUUUUGAAUUUGAAGACUUUAUUUUUCGAAAACUGAGGACCUGCGCGGCUAGUGACGCAGACCCCGCCCGCUGAAGGUGGGCGAGCCCUGUCCGCUAAGGGUGGACGCCCCGCUCGCUGGAGGUGAGCGAACCUGAAUUUGUCUUUUUGAUUUGGGAUUCGGGUGCCGCAGUCUUGCCUGAUUGAGGUGGACAAGUCCCUAUUUCAUUUUUUUCUCUUGUGAUUUCUCUUGAUAAUUUCUUUUCAUUCAUUCUUGCAGGAGCGAAUUCUUUCGAGGGAUGCUCGGAUUUAGUUGCAACCUGAAUGUGGGUUGACAACGUGCUUAGACGGACCAUUAUCUUGUGGUCAUCUUCUUUCAUGGUUUUGAGCUAGUCUUUAUGGCUCAAUUUUGCCAUUACCUGGGUCCUUGAUUAGGGGACUAUGUAUAAGUAUCAACGACGACCUUUGUCUUGAGGUCGUAAUCCGGUUUUAUCUUUUGAGAUUAUCCAAACACGGGACUUCGUACAGUGUAGUCUGGGAAUACCGUUUUAACUUUGCACACUUACUUUUGAAAUAUAUAUUUUCUUUCGAGCCCCCAAGCACUCGUGCUUGACGGUCAUUUUUUGUCAAAGAGGUUCCUACGCAUUUUGUAAUGUCUUUGAUCGUGUUUGGGAUCGUGCUCGUAAGUGCGAGCGAUCUUUGUAGUGGUGUGCUACUUUGACAAAGUCGUGAGGUGCGACUUUCGGCAAUUUUCAAGUCGAAUGAGUAUGGCAGGGCCCACUAGGAGUUAGGGCCUUUUUUGAGCCUGGGUACAUUUUCGGCGCCCAGGCCUGGGCGUUGAAAUAAUUCACGCCCAGGUGGGGCGUUGAAAGUGUUGUUUGGGCUGGUCUUUUGAUGACACAGUUGGCCUUUUGUUCAUUCGUUCAUUUCACUUGGAAGUUCUAUGUAUUCUCUUUUCUUUUGUUUUUUCUUUGUGUUUUAGAACGUGAUAAUUUUCUUGAGAAGCCGUAGCCGAUUGGUGGACUACGGUGCUUGUCGCUUUGGGGCGAUUAUUUUAAGGAACUGUUGCUCUUAAGGCGUACAGUUAUUUGAUAGUUGGGCGAGUCUAUAUGGCCCGAGGAACAUACCUUGAGGCGUAAGACUUUGACUGCUCUUGUUGUUGUAUAUUUUUCCUUUCGAACGCGUUCGUGAAUGUUCGAUAUUUAGAAUGAUGAUAUGUAUGUGCGAACGAGCGUUCAUAGAAUGGCCGUUGUGUGCGAUCCAUUAAUCAGUUUUUUUGAAUCAUUUUUUUUGAGCAAUGACUGAUUUUGAAUAGUUUGCUUAGAAGCUUGAUAGGGUUCAGGCCCAUUCAUGAAGUGGGCUCAAACAUCGUGCCCUUUCGAUUGUUCAAACAAUUGCUUCGAGAUUUUUUUAUUUUUAUUUUGCUAUGGUUGUUUCGUAGCUUGGAGCCCCUAAGUAUGCAUGUUGGGAUGCUUCCUUUUGGCGUACGAUUUUUGUAGGUUCUUUCGAGAAAGAUCCCUUGGGGUUCCGCUCGUGUAGGUGCGAGCUAUCCCUUCCGUGGUAGGUAAUAUUUUUCUACCUUUAAUCCUUAAUGUAGAAGUCGUGUGGCUUGCGUUUGGGCAAUAAGUAGUCUUUGCCUCUUUUACACGUGCUCUUGGUCGUGCCUACAUUAGUGCAAUAUGCCUUACUCUCUUUUUUUAGACUUGUACCGUGGGAUAGUUGAACUUAUGGUGCGACGUAGGCUUGUGUGGCCUAACCGCAUGUAUUAGAACAUUUCUCCAGGUGUUGGGAUAUCAUUAUUAUUUUUUGCAUUGGAGUACUUCAUCAUGCCUCGCUCAGGUGUUCGAACAAGUGUAGCACCUUCUGCGUGGGUUUGCACAGCUUAUUAUUUCGUUCGAUGCGAGGAGUAAUAGGUGUUUCUUUCUUAUUUUUAUAUCUGGGCAAAACAUGGAUAGCAGAAAGAUUCAGCGCCCAGGCUGGGGCGUUAAAGAUAUCGGCGCCCAGCUCUGGGCGUUGAAAAUGAUUUCUGGGUAUAUUUUGACGGUUCUUAUCCUUGAUUUUUUCUUUCGCUUUUGCUUUGGAACAAGGUAGACUGUGUAACGGGCGUUUGUAGGGCGAGCGUUAUGUGCAGUAGUUUGAUCGGAGUUUUGGUGACUCGCGAUUUUCAGUUACCCUUGUUAGUGGGGUGACUUUAUAUAUUCUAAGUAGUGCUUAGAAUUUGGGAGGGGUUGUAGCCAUUCUAAGGUUUGUUUUACACGAUUAAAGCUUAGGAUUGAGCCCCUAUGACAUAUGUAUAGCAUUAGCGUCGAGAAUUUGCGAUAAAAUCGUCAUUUCGAGCAUUUUUAGAGUGUUUUUCUCAAGCCCCCAAUUGUAGCUACGGGAUUGGCUUGGUGCUAUAAUGCUUUGCAUACGUCUUUAUGCAUUCAUGGUGACAUGGAUCAUGAAUAGUUUGAACCAGACUCGUUUAGUGCGAGGUACGUUCGAGUAGUGAUUUGCUACUUUUUCUGUAAAUGUCGUAUUGUGCGACAUUGCCAUGGUCAAGGUAGUAUCAUGUUGAAGUGUGCCUUUGACCAAAAGCUAGGUGCCUUUCUUUACCCAUAAUCAUAUUUAGAAAUCUCUUGACUCACUUGCAAAAUUGAGAUAAACGCAUACUUAGCUUAAACCAACGACACUUUAUUAUGUUCGAAGAAGUCUUUGAAAAUCAUUUGAAAAUUAUUUAAAAUCCGAGUCCUACUGUGUACAACCCGAGGUGUCCUAGGUAAGUUGACUUAUAGAAAGGUUCGUACAGGAUUAUAUGAGUGAAUCAAAAUACUGUUACGAUUUUUGGAAUGAUGUCUAAGGAUUUGCUGGAAGCCAGGGUGCAGGUGUCAAGAUAUUACUUGUGCCCGUUUGGCAUAUGCUUUUAGGAUUUUAGGGCCAUCUUUUCCAGAAUUGCGGGAAUAUAAACCGUUUUCAAAUUGACUUAGAUUUACUUGGUGUAUGUCUGCACAAAAGGUCAAGGUAUACUUAGUUCUUUCCCUAGCUCUUUCACUUCAAUUUUUUAGCCCCCAGUUGCUGUUAUGUCUUCCCAUUAAUGAUGCUUUCAGAUUUCGAUUUUAGAUGCGCGUGUCAUAUGUCCGAGUAGGGUGAGCCUUGGUUAAGUGCCAAGUCCUAUUGACAAUGUCUGUUUUUUUUUUUCAAAGGAUAUUAGCAAGCAUUCGAAUUACCAUGAACGGGUGCCCUGAGUUCGAAGGAACGAUGGGGCGAUGCCGUAGAACAAUCCUUUUUAUUGCAAGCUUACUGCCUUUACUACUUGUUGGCGAUCAUGACUGUGUCUGGUGGUGAAAGAAGGUCUUUAAGCGAACGACUAUGUCUAGUGGUGAAAGUAAGUCUUUAAGUGAGUUAGUUCGCUUUAGGGAGGGUCAAGUCGAGUACUUUAGAGGUCAUGGACGCUUGCGCUAGCCCCCAUUCAAUUGAGGCAAAGCGAUCUUUUGAGUCUUGGCUAAGUGCCUAGGAGUGUGAGUGCUCCUUCUGGCAAGGGUAUGUGCCCUUAUUAUUUUUCGAUGUGUGCUUAUUUUGGCAUCUUGAUGGCUUAGAUUCUUGCUUUAACUUAAAUUUUUCUUUCGACUUGGGUUGCAAGUAAUUAAAUUUCAAUAAGGGACUUCUAUUCUUUAUUCUUGUUUUUCUAUAGGCUUUAAUAUUUUUGCAAAUUGGUUGGACUGAAUCAUGGAUUGCCUAGGUAUCCGCCUUAAAUAGAUUUAAUUUGGAAUCAGGUCUUGCGUAGUUCUUAGCCUAGAAAAUGGUUUCUUAGGAUGCCGAUUUUAAACAAGUACGUUCUGAGGUGGAAACAUAUUAUUUGAAACGGUAGAAUAAGUGAAGUUUAUUAUUAUUUUAAUCUGCUGCCUUGCCGUAAGACAAAAAUUUGUUUUAUAUAUUUUUUUUAGUACAUGUAUUUUUUGGUGGUACGUAUGUCUGAAUACGUGUUGUACCCCCCCCAAGUGUUCGUUAUUGUUCCGUGUAUGUGCGGAUAAAAUGACGAGCACUUCUGGACAAAUUUUAGCAAGCAGAGAGAUUCAGCGCCCAGGCUGGGGCGCUAAAGAUUUCGGCGCCCAGCUGCGGGCGCUGAAAAUGACUUCUGGGCGGAUCUUUUUUGGUGCGCUAAAUGCUUCUUUUCCCUUUUUUAGACGAACUUUCAAAGGCGCUUUUCAUUUGUCUUCUUUUUUAUUCGUGACUCAAGACGGCUUGAAAGAUGGGUUGAAUAAGUUGUAUAGGUAUUAGUCGAGCACGAGGGUUACAUCAACCAAGGCCAAUGAAUAGCAUGGGGACGGCUCAAGGGUAUAUCCCAGGAUGCAUUCAAACAAGUUAUAUGGUCAUUAUGCUAAUGGUGAUGUUAGAGCAGGUUUGGGCUUUGGAAAUAAUGGGCAUGACGCACGUGUCAAUGGCAGUGCGUGGUUUGCGGUUGACAACAAGUUCAAGAACAAGAGUCGAGGUAAUGGUUUCUUGGGUUAUGGCAAUGAGAACAUGGAUGGGUUAAAUGAGCUGAACAGGGGCCCCAGAGCGAAGGCGUCUAAGAACAUAAGGAUUGGAAAGGGUAGACAUCGUAGAACUUUAUGUACUUUUUGUGACAUGAUUUGGAUUGGUUGACUCAAUUCUUUUCCUUCGUUUACUUGGGUAAAUUUCGCACUUUGGGAGGUACGGGCUAAGUAUUUCAUGGCUCGCUCUCUUCGCUCUCCCUUUUCUCUUUCUCUUUUUUUCUUUUUGCUUGGGAUUUCUCCCCAACAUAAAUCCUUCAAAUUUUUCAUUUGGGCUAAAAGGUAGAUGGUUGUGGUUUUUGAGUCACGAGGUGAGACUGAGUGAGCCUCGUUUGGUAGGCCUAUAGUGGACCUUUUAAUUUUUGUAGGCCUAGGGUGGACCUUUAAAUUGUCUUACUUUGCAAGCGUAUUUAGUCGUUUCUUAAAAUGUGCAAAUAGCGUAGAUCUAAAAAAAUGUUGUUUUUACCUUAUUGAAAUUUAACGAAAGAAUUACAUCGAAAAUAAUCUUUUGCUUCUUUUUCAGAUUCCAGUUUCUCGGAUUUAACUGGAAGUUGUGAUUUAGACUCGAACUUUCAUUAAUUUUUCUGAUUAUAACCCGUGUAUGAAUACAAGGAGGUGGCCUAGACUCAAAAUAAUGACGUGGCGUAAGCCUAUAAUACUUGACCAAGCAACUCUCAGACUUAGGCUAAUUGGACCAUAACUUUUGUUGGUUGACACUUUAGAUUUUAACCCUUGGGUGUUCAUUUGUCAUGCGCCAUUUUGCUUAAUGUUGGCAAGGUAGUUAGUUGGGGAGAUCGAAUUUUUAUUUUUGCGAGGCUAGAAUCAUUAGUGCGGCUUCCCUCUUAGUGUGUAUUGCUUUACCCCAAUGGUAACCUUAUGGUAUGCCGAUUUGGGUAUUUUCAUGGUUGGUCAUGUUGCAUUCAUGGAAAAUCUUUUAGUCCGUACUUAGGAGUAUUUAAAGGAGCGAGUGGCUCGAGAGGACUACGAUAGUCGUGACCCAAUGUGAUCUUGAGCCUUGAGGCCAUUAAUUUUUUUGCUAAUGGUAUUGACACCUUAGGUUCACUUUGGGGGUUGUGCGACUAUGGGGGAAUGAUUUCCAGAAUGUGACUGUUUCCAUUUGCAAAUACUAUAAUAUAUUCUUUUUAUUGGUGGGAGAGAGUAUUGAGGCCGUGGAUUCUUAGCAAGGAAUGUCAAUUACAUAUGGGUGCUCAUUGAUUUAAAUGUUAGGAAGGGAGACUCAAUAUGGUUUAACCUUUUAACUUGCAGGACGACACCAAGCAUUAGGACCGAUUCUAUGGAUAAGACAAUUAAGACUUAGGAUUUAGAUUGUACUUUGGCAUAGCCUAGUCUAGACUCGGAUUUAUUUUUUUUAUUCGAACAUUAUUUUUUCCUUGAAAACUUCAUUUGAACAUUUUUUUUGAAUACUUUGCCCUUGUGACAUUAAAGGUUAUUUCAAUUAGCUUGCUCGGUUUUGGUGCCGAACAUUGUCGUCGUAGGAGGCCUAACAACGACGCAAAGAGUUAUUUAUUUUUAUUUUUUUAAGUCGCUUCUAGAAUCAAGUGCUUCUUCUUACGCUCUCGUAGCAAUUUUUUUCACGAAAAGUUUUUUUUUGUUACGUAUUUUCUUCACGCGUGGGCACCGAGGCUGCUGUGCCUGACCAAAAGGCCAGGCAGCAACUUCAGCGCCCAGGGUAGGGCGUGAGAAAUUCUGCGCCCAGCCAGGGGCGUUGAAAAUGCGUCCCUGGCUGGUUCUCGUUUUCUGUUUGCGUCUACUUUUGUUUACGCGACUUCGAUUUUGCGUGCUUGCCUAAUAACGUCCUUUACGCGUUGUGCAGCGUUUGUGGGAUUCGUUACAGGCCAUCCCGAGCGUCGCUUAUUUUUGUGGCGAUCGUUCGGGUUUGCGGAACACGUGUUUCGGUAUAACUCUUUGGCAAAUUGGUUCAUGAAUGUUUGGGCAAUUUUUUAAGGUCGUUGGUUUUUCUAGGAUAGUUUGUCACACACAAUCAUAUAUUUCGCUACACAUAACUAACAUUCCAUCAUGAGGCAAUAAUAAUAUGUCAUGUAGUUUAUGAUAGGCUUCUAUGGGUAGUUAUUGCGCCUGGCUUGGUACCGCUUCUAUCGUAGAUCCAACACAUGCCCCGGUCGAGGUAGUGUCUUCAACAGACGAAUUUCGCUCAAGAGGCCAACCCGCAAGUGCAAGCCAAGGGGGCAUGCAGGCGAGAGGGACCUAGUGGGCGAGCGAUUGGGUUUGGGACGAGUGUACUACUAGCGAAAGUGCCGAGUGGACAACAUUCGAAGCGUAUGCACCCCCCGGUUGGCGAUGGGUAUCCUUAGUCCCAACUCCCGAGAUGAAACACCAAGGGAGCCAAGAUUCGUUAUGCGGUUCUGUCCGUUCACAUUAAUAUGCUGAUUUUCAGGUCGACCCAACUUGAUGGGGAAAUAAACGCGGGGUAGGAUCGUUUCACCCUUCGGCUAUUUUGAUUACCUACAAGCACGAGUAUUUCCUUCACUAUCCCCAGUGGUGUCGCCACUGUGAGGGGGUCGAAAAAGCACGAGGCUAAUGCGUGACCUCGUCCCUCGUGGGUGUGACGCUUCUUUUUGUCAAAUCAAGUGUAAUUGGAUUUCCUGUGAGUUUACACCCAAUUGACUAGUAAUAUAGGAGUCGCCAUUCAGUUUUUAACGACAAUGAGAAAAACUGACAAAACCCGGUUAUCGUGACAUAAAGGGAGUGCAAUUAUGUUUGACCACGACGGUCGUAGGUUCCCUUGUGAUCCCUGGUGGUGGGGAUCGCUCAACGUACACCCGCAGGGUAGAGAUUGAGGGUUCGGGGGACUGUAACUACCGAGAGGAGUACUCGCUCUUCGAUAACUCCAGAGGCAGGAUAUCCUUACUAGCUCAGCAUAAAUAAUUGAAGGGACAUGCGUUAACUAUUAAACUAAUCUGAGUUGAUUUUAUCAAUAUGCAACAUAUAGUACUAGAUCGGAUGCGAUUAUCUGAUUUAGAUUGUUUCAAGGGACCUAGCAUGAUAAUCGAAUUUCCCAAAAAUAUCUUAUUUAUUAAGCGUGAUCGAGCAAUCAGAUUUUAGUUAGUUUAACAGUUCAUAAAAGGGCGAGGAAAGCAAUUAAACCAUGGAAAAGGGACACAUUACGACGCACCCUUGAGAGGUGUGUCACGGUUCUCAGAAAACUAACUACUUUGACUUUGCUAUUUCUCCUUUUAUUUACGGAAUCUCAAAUUAUGGGACGGGAUACGUUCUGUUCGAUUUUUGGAUCGAUUGCGACAGAACGCGUGAUCAGUUUUGCAGCGUGAGGCUUAGGCUUAGGGGUUUUAGAGUCAAUACUCAGAAUAUAAUUGUGUGUUGUGUGUUAUUUUCACGUCGAACUUAAGGGUCUAUUUAUAGGAAAGAGUUCGUGGAAAGAUAGAAUUGCAGAAUUCUAAUCCACGAGGAAUUAGGAAAAAACACGUACCAGGUAUUUUCAGCGCCCAGGCCUGGGCGCCGAAGAUUUCGGCGCCCCGAGCCAGGCGUUGAAAAUAGGGUCUGGGCUGUUUUGCUUAGUCAGAUUCGGAUUCCUAGAAUCCGGAGUAUUUGAGAUUUAAUUGAGUCCUUUAGUGCGUAUUAACCUUGUGACGGGAUGCGUCUGGGCCCGUUACGAACUCUAGGCUCGUUAGGAUUUUAAUUAAUACGUGACUCUUACUUUCGAAUCAUAUUAGGAAUAGGAUUCUCUCGCAAUUUCUAUCUCAUUUAGGAUUUAUGUUGGAGUGCAACACCUAAUUCUGACAGGUUUCUAUCUUUUAUGACUUGCCACUUUUAACAACUACCUAUUACGGCAAUUACUAUUUUUAACAGGUUUCCAUAAAUAGCAGGUUUCUAUAAAUAGCAAGUUUCGGGUGAAAUGAAAAGGGGUAAUGAGAUUCGUUAUUUUAUAGGAGAUGCGUUGUCAAGUGGAGAUUUACGUUUUCAUCAUCGAACCUUCCCUUUCGGGAAUGGGGACAAAAGUAGGUGUCUACACCUGCAAAAAUAUUUCAGUGUCGCUUGAAUGAAUUUAGAACAUGUAAAGUUAGAAAAUGCUUGAAUAAAAUUAGAACAUGCAUGAAUAAAUUUUGAACAUGCAUGAAUAAAUUUAGAACAUGCUUGAAUAAAUUUUGAAACAUGGUUGAAUAAAGUUAGAACAAGCUUUGAUAAAUUUAGAAAACUUGAAUAAAUUUAGAACAUGCUUGACUAAAUUUAGAACAUGCUUGAAUAAAUUUUGAAAACACGGUUGAUUAAAGUUAGAACAUGCUUGAAUAAUUUUGAACAUGCUUGAAUAAUUUUAGAAAUGCUUGUAUUAAUUUAGAAUAUGCUUGAAUAAUUUUUGAAACACGGUUAAAGUUAGAACAUGCUUGGAUAAAUUUAGAAAGCUUGAAUAAAUUUAGAACAUGCUUGAAUUAAUUUAGAACAUGUUUGAAUUAAUUUAAAACAUGAGUUUGAAAUUUUAGAACAUGUAUAUAUGUAUAUAUGUGUUGACUAGGUUCUCAUGUUCUAAAUUUAGAACAUUGUUGAAUAAAUUUAGAACAUGCUUAAAUAAAUUUAGAACAUAGUUGAACAAAUUUAGAACAUCGUUGAAUAAAUUUAGAACAUGCUUGAAAUUUUAGAACGUGAUUGAAUAAUUUUAGAACAUGUUUGAAUUAAUUUAGAACAUGAGCUUAAAAAUUUAGAAUAUGGUUGAAUAAAAUUAAAACAUGGUUGAAUAAAUUUAGAACAUGUUUGAAAAAAUUUAGAACAUUAGCUUGAAAAUUUAGAACAUUGUUGAAUAAAUUUAGAACAUGAGCUUGAAAAUUUAGAACAUGUAUAUAUGUAUAUGUGUUGACUAGGUUCUCAUGUUCUAAAUUUAGAACAUUAUUGAAUACAUUUAGAACAUGCUUGAAUAAAUUUAGAACAUCGUUGAACAAAUUUAGAACAUCGUUGAAUAAAUUUAGAACAUGCUUGAAUAAAUUUAGAACAUGACACUAGUAGAAAAAACACUUAUUGAAGCCCCCCUGUUGAGGGGGGCAAAAUAUUAUACGCCUCAUUAGUCCCUGUUGAGGGGGCAAAAAAUUAUACGCCCCAUUUGCCUGAGCUGUCGAGGCGGGCUGACCCCAUGUUCGCCCCAAUAGCUUUGUAGAAGCGAACAUAGGCCCAGCCCGCCUUAUUAGAGCUAUCCAGUCGAGGCGAACUUUGACUUACCCGCCUCAACGAUUUCGACGGCCCAAAUAAAGUGACCCAUCUGCCUCAACACAAAACAAUCACUGCAGUUAGGGUUUUACAUUUCAUUUCCUUUUUUACACUUCAUUUUUCUUAGCCGUUUUUUCUAUCCUUCGAUCUCCUUUGUUGUUUUCUUCAUUUCAGUUUGCCAUUUUUUCACUGAAUCCCUUGUUUCUUUGAUCUUUUCGCAUCCUUAUCUCCAUUCUUUGUUGAAGAAAUUCGGGCUUUGAUCGAACUUCUUCCGUGUUUAUGGUUCACAAAGAUGGAGAGCAUAAGCAAACCGUCUUCCGUAAGUAUUUCAAGAUCUUGAUACAAACAAGCUAGAUCCGUCUUUGACGCGAGCGGUGGAUUUAGCGGCACAAACUCAUGGCGGCGUUAGGAUGUCGGUGGUGGAAGACCUCAUCAUCUGUAAUUCUUUAGAAGAGUUGGUCCUGGGUGGGAGAGGUGUCAAUUUGUGCAGUUUAGAACUAUCUUAGUUCGUUAAUUUUGUACUUUGAUUUAUUAAACCUUGUAAGAUAAUGUAAUACUAAAGAAAUUCAUAUGUAUCCCCUUGGAAAAACCAGUGAUAUUUUUUGUUCUUGUACUCUAUAUUUUAUUAAUAAUAAUGAGAAAGGUUUACGA